CCUUAACCUGCGGGACACUGUGAGGAUGCAGCGGUGGCUACUUAAAGAACCCGGGGAGGCAGAGGUGCUCGUGGGAAAUGCCAGGCACUGUCACAAACCGCUUGGUGUUUGUUAAGGUACAGUUUAUGCACAGCGAAAGUCAUCUCUCAGCGUGCACUUGUGCAAGGUUUGACACGCAUGGGGCCAUGUCCCUGUUGCCUCGAACAAGACACCGAAUCGCUCCGUCCUCCACCCUUCAUCCCACAAGCCGCCUCCCCGGGGGCGGUGCCCUCCGACAGAGGAGGCGUGCAACGCAGGUCUCGGCCCGCACGUGCUCUGGGCCCUGGGCUCCUGGAAGGAAGGCUGUUUGGACGGCCUCUGGGCCGUGGUCAUGUGCCUGUGAAAUGCCACUUUUCUAAAGUUGGAAGGAAAAGCGACUGGAAGCUCGCCUCAGCUGUUCACCCAAAGCUUGAUCCGUAUGCUUGCUUUCUCCCCCAAGGAAAGAAGAAAUCGAAAAAUGAUCAGCACGAGAAACAAUCAGUUCUGGACAGGAUCCUGCAAAAUACUGAAAAAUCUCCAGGAAACUCCGUCCAGUAAAUGGAGGAGAGCGAGGCCCAGAGGAGGCGUGGAGAGCAGCCCGUGAGGCCGCUGGCUCCGAGGAGCCGCCACACAGGACGCACGGACUGCGUGACAACAGCCCCGUCCUCAGUAAUAAAGAGCCUAUGUGC
rnacentral:lncRNA from 1 species